GGCCCUGUAGUGUAGCGGUCAUCACUCGAGAUUUUGAGUCCAGUUCACGACUGCCGUUUCUCGUAACCCCGGUUCGAACCCGGGCAGGACCU